GCAUCUAAGCGGGAAGCGAGCCCUGAGAUGAGUCAUCCCUGACCCCUUGAGGGUCCUAAAGGGCCGUUGGAGACCACAACGUUGAUAGGUGGGGUGUGUAAGCGCGGUGACGUGUUGAGCUAACCCAUACUAAUUACCCGUGAGGCUUAACCAU
rnacentral:rRNA from 1 species